rnacentral:rRNA from 1 species
GACGAACGCUGGCGGCGUGCGUAACACAUGCAAGUCGAACGGAGACUUUCAAUAAGUUUACUUAGAGAAAGUUUUAGUGGCGGACGGGUGAGUAACGCGUGGGUAACCUACCCAUAAAGCCGGGACAACCCUUGGAAACGAGGGCUAAUACCGGAUACCCUUAUAGAGUGGCAUCACUGUAUAAGAAAAGGUGGCCUCUGAAGAUGCUACCGAUUAUGGAUGGACCCGCGUCUGAUUAGCUAGUUGGUGGGGUAAAGGCCUACCAAGGCGACGAUCAGUAGCCGGCCUGAGAGGGUGAACGGCCACACUGGGACUGAGACACGGCCCAGACUCCUACGGGAGGCAGCAGUGGGGAAUCUUCCGCAAUGGACGAAAGUCUGACGGAGCAACGCCGCGUGUAUGAUGAAGGUCUUCGGAUUGUAAAGUACUGUCUUUGGGGAAGAAUGACUGGCUUGAAAAUAUUGAGUCAGUAUGACGGUACCCAAGGAGGAAGCCCCGGCUAACUACGUGCCAGCAGCCGCGGUAAUACGUAGGGGGCAAGCGUUGUCCGGAAUUAUUGGGCGUAAAGGGCGCGUAUGCGGAUGCUUAAGUCCGGUGUGAAAGAUCAGGGCUCAACCCUGAGAGUGCAUCGGAUACUGGGUAUCUUGAGGACAGGAGAGGAAAGUGGAGUUCCACGUGUAGCAGUGAAAUGCGUAUAUAUGUGGAGGAACACCAGUGGCGAAAGCGACUGUCUGGACUGUAACUGACGCUGAGGCGCGAAAGCGUGGGGAGCAAACAGGAUUAGAUACCUUGGUAGUCCACCCCGUAAC